UUUUUAGGCUUAAUUUGCUUAUAUGUUUAUGCAAUUCGUUGUGUGUUUCUAAUAGUGAAGUAAUGACGAUUAGUUUUCCGACUUGAGAACCUUGGCCCGUGCCAACUUUGAUUUAGGAUUUGUUUUAUACCGUAUCUUAAUAUCAGCCACUUGCUGUUUGUGAAUAUGUUUGAAUGACAGCGAACAAAGUUUUUAUGACAUACAAUCACAAUCUUCGAUAAUAUUAUUGUUGUUCGAUGAUGCUUCUGUUGUGAGAUGGCAAUUGAAGUUGGUCAUGUGAUGUUAUUUUGAACAUCUGCUUUAAUAUUUGGUUAUUCAAUGACAGCAAAUACUAAACAGAUGGCAAGUUUCUUGGAUAUCGAAUAUGCAUACAUUAGGCAAACAUGCUAUAACCUAUUGAUGACGAAUAAGGUAUCUUUUUCGUUUAUUUCAUGAAUUGAUCACAAGAUAAUGACAAUAAUGAAAUAAACAAACAAAAGACAAGAACGUCGAGAUUUAUGUGAAAACUCAAGAUGAGAAAAAAUCACAGGUAGGGGAUGUUAAUAACAAAAUCUCAAUACUCUCAAUUAAAAUCUAAAACUCUCAAGAUGUUGUAUGAAUGUUAUGACCUCAAUGCAAAUCAUGGAGAAUAUAUGCAAAUCCUAAAAUCCAAGUUGUAGAUGAGAAUAGGAGUCCAGCAAAUGCGUUAAAACGUGAAAUGAGCCUGGGCCGGAUAAACACACCGCUUGAAAAAAAAAAAAAACUUAAGAAUUGCUAAUCCUUAUUCAACAAGAGAUCAUAAGGGCUUAUUAUAUGAAAGAGUAAGUUGUUUUAUUCUAUCCAAAUCUUCAAUAAUGGAUGACAUGAAACUGCAACAUCGUGAUAAACUCCAAAUUUCAACUCCAUAAAACUCGAACAAUUCUUGCUGCACUACUACAUUCACAUUGUCUCAAUCUACAUAAUAACCAAAUGAACGAGUUCACUAGACAUGAAAAGAAAUAAUGAUCUUAGAAAACAAUGCUAUUUCCACAUCUUAACCCAAGGCACACCAGCCAGGCUUGUUACAACCACUUUGUAAUUUAUGAGGAUGGAAUAGCUACUCAAAUGUCCUAUUCCUCUCCGGAUUUUUGGUCUCAAUUACUUCCUGUGAGAAAUAUUAAGGUUCUAAUCAAGUCAUAUUAUUGGUUUGCUUUAUAGAUGAUACUUUAUGAUACACCCGGUGUUAUUGAGAAGAAAAUGCACAAGUUAGACACCAUGAUGAUGAAGAAUGUCCGCAGUGCUUCCAUUAAUGCAGAUUGUGCACUCAUUGUUGUUGAUGCAUGUAAGCCACCUCAAAAGGUAUGCUCCACUAAACAUAAUUAUUUACGGAACUGUCUCCUUUAACUAAUAUCUCUCAUCUGCUAUCAGAUUGAUGAAGUGCUGGAAGAAGGUGUUGGAGACCUCAGAGAUAAGUUACCUACCUUGCUGGUUUUAAACAAGAAGGACCUGAUCAAACCUGGUGAAAUUGCAAAGAAACUUGAGGUACUAAGCAAUAUCACCCACUAUUUAGUGGCAUAAAUUAAGUUUGUAUUUCUUAGAUACAUAAUAUGCUACUAUUGCUCAAAUGAUUCUAGCAUGAAUUCUCUUCCCUUUUCUUUCUGCCAAAAUCGCACUUGACAUCUGAAUAGAUAUUUUCCAACUCUCUUUUGUUAUUCUGCUGAUUAAAGGUUACACUUGUCCACUAAAUUAGAAGACAUGAAGCCAUAUUAAGAUUUUUCUUAUUCGAAAGAUAAUGCAAUUCUACAGAGAAAAUAUAAUAUUGAAUCGAAGGGUACGUGACCACAACCUCAUAUCACAAUUAUAUGCAUUCUGUGUGGUUUGCAUCUUGCUUUUUUCUAAAUUUUCUGAUUGCACUAUUUUCAUGCCUCUGAUCUCUGUACUGGAAGGUUGCUAAAUUUUGAAGGGUGUCAAUGUAACUUCUCAAAUUUAUUUAUAUACACAUUUGUUGCAGUGGUAUGAGAAAUUUACUAAUGUUGAUGAGGUCAUACCUGUGAGUGCCAAGUAUGGUCAUGGUGUAGAUGAUGUCAAGGAGUGGAUUCUAUCAAAACUUCCAUGUGGACCAGCUUAUUAUUCUAAGGUGUUGUCUUUAUCCCUCCUUUCUAUGGUGAUAUCAUAUUCUUUUCCACUGGAAAUAGAACAUUAUUAACAAUAUAUUUCCGUUGCUUUAUAACCAUCAUAUUUAUAUCAUUCUGUAUUGUAAAAAAUGUUGAAAGUCUGGUUGAUGAGGAUAUCGGACGACGUUUACUUAUUUUAUUUAAACUUUAUUUAUUUUCUUGGACUAUUAUUUAAAUUUGGACUUGUAUGGGCUCGGGCCCAAGCUCGUUAGGGUUGCUUUACUAUUUAAACCUAUUUUGCAUUGUAAUUUUUAGUUGAUGAUAAAUGAAUAAUUAUUUUGGUGGCUUAUGGCGCAUCCCUCCCCUUCUUCUAUCCCCUCCCUUAAUUCCCCAUUCUUUCUGAAUCUUUCUUCUAUUUCUAUUAAUCAUCCUAUUGGUGCUGCAUCAAAUUUGGUAUCCGAACCUAAACUUGGGUAAUCUUUCAUCUCCAAUCCAAAAAUCUCUUCCUAUUUCUUUUUGAAGAACUUGUGGAACAGCACAAACAAAUAAACUUUUAGUAUGAGCAGCCAAGUUAUUAUUUUUCUAGCUUCUUCAUAGUUGUUCCAAAAAAAAAAAUAAUAAUAAAAUAAAAUAAAAUAAAAUCGCGUUACUGUUCAUGGGUACUAUUCACACCCGAAAAUUCAUUUUUUUUUGUAUUAUCAGUUUCAAAAAAAAAAAAUCUCAUUUUUUCCCUGCUGCUGCUGCUCAUAAAUAAAAAAAAGUAAUUGUGGUGUUGUUCCACAAAUCCCAAACCCUAGCAUUCAAGCCUACUUAGCCCUUCAGCCCAUAUAUUCCAUCUCUAUAACCUACUCUAUUCAUUUUUUUAUCAAAACACUUGGAUCAUAAGCUAGUGGCCCAAAUUACUCCCAAAGCCCACUAAACGCACAACCCAUCUCUCAUCAUCUAUUUAGCCAAUCCACUUGCUUUCCAGCCCAAUAAACACUAAAUCCAACCCACUUAUCACAUAUUAUCACAAUCGGCCCAAUACCAUUCAACCCAUAAUCAGUCCCAAAUAUCCAACCAAGCCCGAUUAUAACCAAUCCAUUAACAUCAAAUACAAUAAUGAAAUAAACAAACAAAAGACAAGAACGUCGAGAUUUAUGUGAAAACUCAAGAUGAGAAAAAAUCACAGGUAGGGGAUGAGAAAUUCAUUAUAAUCAAUAAUGAAUGACCAAGCCCGAUUAUAACCAAUCCAUUAACAUCAAAUACCCUACAGUUUCACCCGAUUUCUCGCUCACGACCACUCUCUUGCCACUGCCGCCUUUAAUCACCGUCACGCUAAAUCUCAAUACUCUCAAUUAAAAUCUAAAACUCUCAAGAUGUUGUAUGAAUGUUAUGACCUCAAUGCAAAUCAUGGAGAAUAUAUGCAAAUCCUAAAAUCCAAGUUGUAGAUGAGAAUAGGAGUCCAGCAAAUGCGUUAAAACGUGAAAUGAGCCUGGGCCGGAUAAACACACCGCUUGGGCGCCAGGCGAGCAGCAGCCUGACACUCAAUCACUGGAAAUUGCAUUUACUUUCUUCUCCAUCCAUAAUUUUAUCUCUUCAAUACCACGUCAAUCAAAACUAUAAUACCCACUAUAAUUUGGGUCGAACUACAACAAUUUAAUUGAGUCUAACUUCAUCUCUUAUUGCUAUGGCGGAUGAAUAAACAGCGCACUUGUUUUAAUUUUGAUGGAUGAAUAAACAGUACACUUGUACAGGUAUAUGCUAUUGAGGAACUACUGAAUCUCUUCUUGCCAUUAUCCUUUAAUAUUUUAUAGAGGUAUACCUUACUAAGGCUAUUAUAUUGGGUUAGCGUUCAAUUUCUAGCUCUGGUUUUUGUUGCUUAUACAAUUGCAAUUCGCAUUUUUAUAGUAACUUUGUAACAGAGACAAUGGAAGCACAAUUGUUUUAUAAUAUCUAAUAACAAUAUUUGAUUUUUUUUUUU
rnacentral:lncRNA from 1 species